CGAACGCUGGCGGCAGGCCUAAUACAUGCAAGUCGAGCGCGCCCUUCGGGGUGAGCGGCGGACGGGUGAGUAACGCGUGGGAAUAUGCCCUUCUCUAAGGAAUAGCCUCUGGAAACGGAGAGUAAUACCUUAUACGCCCUUUGGGGGAAAGAUUUAUCGGAGAAGGAUUAGCCCGCGUUAGAUUAGGUAGUUGGUGGGGUAAUGGCCUACCAAGCCUACGAUCUAUAGCUGGUUUGAGAGGAUGAUCAGCCACACUGGGACUGAGACACGGCCCAGACUCCUACGGGAGGCAGCAGUAGGGAAUCUUAGACAAUGGGGGCAACCCUGAUCUAGCCAUGCCGCGUGUGUGAUGAAGGCCCUAGGGUCGUAAAGCACUUUCGCCAGAGAUGAUAAUGACAGUAUCUGGUAAAGAAACCCCGGCUAACUCCGUGCCAGCAGCCGCGGUAAUACGGAGGGGGUUAGCGUUGUUCGGAAUUACUGGGCGUAAAGCGCACGUAGGCGGAUUGGUAAGUUAGAGGUGAAAUCCCAGGGCUCAACCCUGGAACUGCCUUUAAUACUGCUAGUCUUGAGUUCGAGAGAGGUAAGUGGAAUUCCGAGUGUAGAGGUGAAAUUCGUAGAUAUUCGGAGGAACACCAGUGGCGAAGGCGGCUUACUGGCUCGAUACUGACGCUGAGGUGCGAAAGUGUGGGGAGCAAACAGGAUUAGAUACCCUGGUAGUCCACACCGUAAACGAUGAAUGCCAGACGUCAGCAAGUAUACUUGUUGGUGUCACACCUAACGGAUUAAGCAUC
rnacentral:rRNA from 1 species